UACGGAGGGGGCCAGCGUUGUCCGAAGUUACUGGGCGUAAAGGGCGCGUAGGCGGGAGCCUAAGUCCGCUGUGAAAGCCCGGGGCUUAACCCCGGAGGGUCGGUGGAGACUGGGUUUCUUGAAAGGGCUAGGGGGAGAUGGAAUUACCGGUGUAGCGGUGAAAUGCGUAGAUAUCGGUAGGAACACCAGUGGCGAAGGCGGUCUCCUGGGGCCUGUUUGACGCUGAGGCGCGAAAGCUGGGGGAGCCAACGGG
rnacentral:rRNA from 1 species